AGAUGUAUAGCUCAGUGGUAGAGCUUUCGACUGUAGAUCGAGAGGUUCCCGCUUCAAACCUGGGUGUCCC